rnacentral:rRNA from 1 species
AUUGAACGCUGGCGGAAUGCUUUACACAUGCAAGUCGAACGGUAGAGGGGGCAACCCCUUGAGAGUGGCGAACGGGUGAGUAAUAUAUCGGAACGUGCCCAGUCGUGGGGAUAACGUAGCGAAAGUUACGCUAAUACCGCAUACGAUCUAAGGAUGAAAGCGGGGGACUCGCAAGAGCCUCGCGCGAUUGGAGCGGCCGAUAUCAGAUUAGGUAGUUGGUGGGGUAAAGGCUCACCAAGCCAACGAUCUAUAGCUGGUCUGAGAGGACGACCCAGCCACACUGGGACUGAGACACGGCCCAGACUCCUACGGAGGCAGCAGUGGGGAAUUUUGGACAAUGGGCGCAAGCCUGAUCCAGCAAUGCCGCGUGCAGGAU